rnacentral:snoRNA from 1 species
ACAACCUUACUUGAACAAGAUUUGUUCUAUAGGCUCGUACCAAUUUAAUAAAUCAUGACUUUGUAAUCAAAGCGUAAGUUGAUGUUGUCUUGCGG